GCACGCUGUACUGGCCUUUGUGUUACACUCCACUCAUUCCCCAGAUCUGUGAACUUCUACUCUUCGCAAGAACCGUGCUAGGCGCCGCCAGGAGCACAGAGAGAAGGCAGAGGGUGUGGACCCAAGGGCGGGAGGCCGAGAGGACCAGCUGAUGUGGGGAGGAGAGGAGACAGGAGAUCCGGACCAGCUCCAAGACGGACGUGGCGGAAGUACUGGAAUCGUUGAGGGUCCAUUCACCAACGAUCGCCCAAACAGUUGUGUGAGUUUUCUCUGGAGGUGCUCAGAUGAGGACGGGUGUGGCUCUUUUUAUAAAAGGAUCGAGAUCCUUCCAUGUAUGAUGCACCUCCUGCCUGUUUCGCCAGCCCUGCAGAGGAAGCCUCUUGCCAGGUCAUUAAACCACCAUGAGAGUCACGCCUGGAAUUCCACGAUGGAGGAGGCUGUACCGUCCCCGAUUUAACCCCCUGUUGUCCCCCUCCCCCAUGCCAACAUCUUGGUCACUCUGACAAGCCUUUCUGCUCACAUUCUCCAGGAGACGUCCUUGGAGAUGCCAUGGCUGUCUGAGAGGCAUCCGGGGUCCCGAUUGGACACCUGGCCCAGCCUGCUCAGGACAGCACAGCCCCAGGGAGGAGGGUGGUACCUGGUGGCCAAGAGCAGACUCAGAAACCGAGGGCUCCCAGGCGGUCCUGGAGACCCGCAGGCUCAGGCCACCACAGCAGGGCUUGGGGGCUGUGGAAAAGGGAGAGGCCUCAUCCCCCGGUUGCCAAGGCGACGUGGAAGCCUCUGAUUGCCCAGGAGGACCCAUGGCUCAGCAUCAGGCUUUUUCAGUACAGCCUACAAAGGUGUUUUCGUUCAUUCUGACCUGGUUUUCAUGGAUUUUGGUAUUGUUGUGUUGUUUGUUUAAAAAGAAAACACAUGGACUUACGUCAUGAAGAGGCAAAGACGUCACUGGCAUCAACUAAUAAAAAUGAUCAUAAACUCGU